AACGAACGCUGGCGGCAUGCCUAACACAUGCAAGUCGAACGAUACCUUCGGGUCUAGUGGCGCACGGGUGCGUAACGCGUGGGAACCUGCCCUUAGGUUCGGAAUAACUCCCCGAAAGGGGUGCUAAUACCGGAUAAUGUCUUCGGACCAAAGAUUUAUCGCCUUUGGAUGGGCCCGCGUUGGAUUAGCUAGUUGGUAGGGUAAAAGCCUACCAAGGCGACGAUCCAUAGCUGGUCUGAGAGGAUGAUCAGCCACACUGGGACUGAGACACGGCCCAGACUCCUACGGGAGGCAGCAGUGGGGAAUAUUGGACAAUGGGCGAAAGCCUGAUCCAGCAAUGCCGCGUGAGUGAUGAAGGCCUUAGGGUUGUAAAGCUCUUUUAACCGGGAUGAUAAUGACAGUACCGGGAGAAUAAGCGCCGACUAACUCCGUG
rnacentral:rRNA from 1 species